AGAGUUAAAAAGUACGUGAAAUUGUUAAAAGGGAAACGCUUGAAAGCCAGUGACUUUUGAUAAUGGCCUGGGGAAUCAGUUGGUGGGGAGGGGGUUCCUUCUUCCUGCCGAUGCACUUACCCAGGUACAAGGCCAACAUCAGCUCCUUGGGCUGGAAAAGGGUAGCCGGGAAGGUAGGUCUUGUGGGGUCUUGAUCCCGCUCGACUGUUAUAGCCCUUAAUUAAUGUGAUAUUUGGGAUCGAGGAUUGCAACGGAUACCUUUUUAGGCUAGCCGCCUAGCCUCUGAUUCGAUGUCGGAUUAUAGACAGCACGCUGACUAUGAUCUGAUUAUUGGUCAAAAGGUUAGAGUGAGCAUAAAUUCGUUAAGGACGCUGACGUAAUGGCUUUAAACGACC
rnacentral:rRNA from 1 species